rnacentral:rRNA from 1 species
GAGUUCGGCAGGGGAGACUGGAAUUCCUGGUGUAGCGGUGAAAUGCGCAGAUAUCAGGAGGAACACCGGUGGCGAAGGCGGGUCUCUGGGCCGAUACUGACGCUGAGGAGCGAAAGCGUGGGGAGCGAACAGGAUUAGAUACCCUGGUAGUCCACGCCGUAAACGGUGGGUGCUAGGUGUGGGGGACUUCCACGUCCUCCGUGCCGCAGCUAACGCAUUAAGCACCCCGCCUGGGGAGUACGGCCGCAAGGCUAAAACUCAAAGGAAUUGA